GAUGAAGAACGCAGCGAAAUGCGAUACUUGGUGUGAAUUGCAGAAUCCCGUGAACCAUCGAGUCUUUGAACGCAAGUUGAGCCCGAAGCCAUUAGGCCGAGGGGACGCCUGCCUGGGCGUCACACGUCGUUGCCCCCCCAUCUACUCCUUCGGGAUUGCGGGGGGCGGAUGAUGGCCUCCCGUGCGCCUCGUCGCGCGGUUGGCAUAAAUGCCAAGUCCUCGGCGACGCACGCCACGACAAUCGGUGGUUGCGAAACCUCGGUUGCCCGUCGUGUGCGGUCGUCGCGCAUCGAGGGCUCGAAAAAAUUGCCGGGCUCCGGCUCGGCUUUCAACGCGACCCCAGGUCAGGCGGGGUUACCCGCUGAAUUUAAGCAUAUCAAUAAGCGGAGGA
rnacentral:misc_RNA from 1 species